AUUGAACGCUGGCGGCAGGCCUAACACAUGCAAGUCGAACGAGUGGCGGACGGGUGAGUAAUGUCUGGGAAACUGCCCGAUGGAGGGGGAUAACUACUGGAAACGGUAGCUAAUACCGCAUACCAUCGGAUGUGCCCAGAUGGGAUUAGCUUGUAGGUGAGGUAACGGCUCACCUAGGCGAAUGACCCUUGCUGGUCUGAGAGGAUGACCAGCCACACUUGGACUGAUACACGGUCCAGACGCCUACGGGAGCGAGCAGUGGGGAAUAUUGCACAAUGGGCGCAAGCCUGAUGCAGCCAUGCAGCGUGUAUGACGAAGGCCUUCGGGUUGUAAAGUACUUUCAGCGGGGAGGCGGUACCCACAGAAGAAGCACCGGCUAACUCCGUGCCAGCAGCCGCGGUAAUAC
rnacentral:rRNA from 1 species